GCUGCUGCGCGGAGCGGGGCUGCGGGCGGGACGCCGGCCCCGGUGCGUUGGGGAGUUCGCUGCGAAUUUUGUUCUCGGCUGGUUAAAGAGAAUUGCAACGGCGCUGCGUUAUGUGGUCUUUUGUGCGAGCAUUUACGGCGCGGGUUUGUUUGACCGUUAUUGUUUUUUUUCACCUGUUCGCAGAGGUUUCUGCACAGCUGGAGGUGAUCGGCGCGGUGUCUCUUUGCCAUCCCAGCCGGGACGGGGUGCUGAGUUGCCCACGCUCCGUUUGCUCCCCUCCCGCAUUCCCAGCACUCAGCGUCUCUCUGUAGUGCCCAGGAAGGGUCACAGGGACCCUCUGAGCUUCACCCCCUCCCGUGCAUCCUCCGAGCUGGGACAGUCACAGCUGGGUUAUGAUAGCGUAGGGUCCUACGAGAUGUUCGCUGCUGGGGCCGACAGCCGCGUACCUCCAUCCUGUGUUUAUCAGGCAUUGCUGUGCCCCUCUUUGUGCUUCGAUGUUCCUGCAGCUCCUGGCUGAGGCGGCCUUAGCCUUGAGAUGUUCUGAGGUGAAGCCUCGGUUUGAGCUCUUGAAGGUGUAAGAUAAAAAUACAGAACGUUCUGGUUCAUGAUGUGCUUCUCUGAGUGAGUCCCAGGCUUCAGGCCUUGCAGCCCCCAGGUGCGGAGAUGGAAAUAAAUGACCCAAGUGUCACUGGAACCCUGGGGAAGGUCAUCUGUGUGUGUGGAAAUCUAUUUUGGGUUGAAACAGGAUACCUCACAAAUGGGUGUCCCCAGUUAGAACUGCUGCGCAGCAACUCGAGAGCUCCGUUUUGCUCCGUCCCAGACUUCUGUUCCAUUCAGGUCCAUCACAGCUAAUGGGGCUCUAGCAGCUGGUGCAGGGACAGCUGUGUGGAGAAUGGGAGUUGCAGGUGACUCUUGAUGAACCUUUGUUUGGGUGAAAGAUGACCCUGAAUCUGUGUCUGCUUGUGACUAAUGUGUGUCCAGGUUCCUAGUCAUGUGUUCUGCCAUUGGCUCCUACUUUUUUUGACCCAAAUGUCAGUAGUGUGUGCAAACAGCCAUGCUGUGCCUUGAGAUCAGAGUGAUGGAGCAGAACCAACCUGUGUGGAUGAGUUUCCAGCAGCACCUGCUCUGAUUUGCUGGGACUGUCUCCUGUGCAGUACAGGAACAUACUGAGGUAGUUGGUGCUUGUUUGUUCCAGUUUUGCCUUAGCCCAUGCAAGCUGGCUCCAAGCUGAUGGCAGCAAGCUGACUUGUGCAGUUGACACAAUAGAGGGGAGGGAUGCCAUCCAGAGGGACAGGCCAAGUGCAAGGUGUUGCACUUGAGUCAGGGCAAUCCCAGAUAUGAGUACUGACUGAGAGAAAAACUCCUCGAGAGCAGCCCUGUGGAGGAGGAGUUGCGGUUCUGGAGGAUUAAAAGCUGACAUGAGCCAGCAGUGUGUGUGUGCAGCCCAGAAGGCCAGCAGUAUCCUGAGCUGCAUCAGCAGAGGGGUGGCAAUUGAGUAAAGGAGGUGAUUGUCCCCCUCUGCUCUGCCCUUGUGAGGCCCCAUCUGGAGCACUGCGUCCAGGCCUGUGACCCUCCGUUCAGGAGGGAUGCAGAGCUGUUGAAGUGAGUCCAAAGGAGAGCCACAGAGACGAUCAGAGGGCUGGAGUACCUCUCCUAUGAUGAUGGGUUGAGGAAGUUGGGCUUGUUUAGCUUUGAGAAGGGAAGGCUCCAGGGAGACUUCAUUGCAAUCUCACCAACUUUUUCCAGUCUGAUCGUGAUAGGACAAGGGAGAUGGCCUUGAAAUCUUAAAAUAAGAUAGGUUUAGGUUAGAUGUUAGGAAAGAAUGUUUUUAUUCAGUGAGCUUCUGGAGCAGUUUGCUCAGAAUAGAUGCUCCACCUCUGGGAGCAUUCGAGGCCAAGGUGGAUAGGAUCCUGUGCAGUCUGAUCUAAUGGUUGGCAACCCUGCCCAUGGCAGGAGAGUUGGAACUAGAUGAUCUUUAAGGUCUCCAUUCUGUGAUGUUCUUCUCUGUAGGACGAGCAGGUUGGUGCCAAAGCACAGGGCUUACAGUUGCGAGAACAAUGAUGCUCUUCUUUCUCCCAACUCCAUUUAGCCUCAGAAUCUGGCCUGGCUCGCUGCAUUGUGAGGCUUCUACAGCACAUAUAUCAGGCACUGGCUACUCAUCUGCCACCCACUCUUGGUCUUGCUUCUUGAAAAAGAGCACGGAGAAGGAGAGCACUCUGUGAGCUCAGUGUAAUGUGUGGAUUUCUGGAGCUGCACUGCUGUGUGUGUGUCCCCACCGUGACGCAGCAGUGCAGGCGGCUGUGUCACCAGGGCACAGUGCUCCACUCCAAGCACAUAGUGAGGCCAGCAGGAAAGUGUGCCUGGGAUCAUCAGAGAUGAGCAAGCAAGGAAACAGUUGAGAGAGAGCACAAAGAGAUAUAAAGGGAGAGCUCAGGGGCUGCGGCACAGUGAAACCUGGCUCUGAGCACUGUGCUGGGGACUUCUUAUAUGACAUGGUGCUGUGUCUGCAAGUCACAGCUUCCAGCCUGUGUCUGUGGGGCUGGGCAGGAAGCCGCCACUGGUGCGUGCUGCAGUCUUUGUUCUGUGGCUGUUCUGUGUGGAGUGGAGCGUCCUUGCACACAGAAUGCAGGGAGCUGGGGUGACUGACCCAUGUGGAGCCUGCCUGAUGUGGGCUGCCCUUGGAGCCGUGGUUGAAGCUUUGCUGCUGAGGGGCUGGGGGUGGUUUUGCUGCUUUUCAGGAAGGUCAGCUUCUGAUGUUCCUGAGGCCGCUUCAGAGUGGGAAUCUCUCUGUGCCCCGGGCCAGUACUGCACUCGGUGAGUGGGCCUGAGCAGGGCCUCUUCCUGCCCAGGACUGCGUCCGGCUUCCCCAGGCUGGGAGCAGGAAGUGCCCUGCUGCUGGGAACAGCCUCCAGGGAAUGUGCUUUGAGCAGUGCAAAAAAUGCUGUGCUUGUUUUUGGGGCUGUGCCCAGAUUUACCCUGCAGGGGGGUGGUGGGGCUCUGGGGAGCACUGGGCCGUCCUUGGUUGUCAGCUGAGUCCUCAGGCACUGCCACACUGCAGGCAGGUCAGCGCUGUGGUGUUUGAAAAGAGCUUCCCUAAAACAACAAGCAAUCUAAUGGAUGUAUUUAUAGAAUCUUGUUCCUUAAUUUAAUCUGCUUUUUCACUGUUUGUUUUUUAUUUUUAAGUUCAAAGGUGUGAUAGGAAAGAAACUAAACUUUGCAGGCGCCCGAGGGGGAGCUGAAAUGUAACUCAUGGUCUGCAUCAGCCCAAAGCUCUGCUCUGACCUGUUCCGAGUUCAGAAAAACAUUUACCAAGCACGCAGGCCGGUUCCUGCUGCUCUGCGCCAGCUCCAGCUGCAUCCCAGUGCCCCGCGGGAUCAGUCCACAAUGCCUGAAGUGCGAGAUCUCUCCGAUGCCUUGCCUGAUGUGCCAAUGGAUCCCAUCACAGGGGUUGGCGUGGUUGCGUCCCGGAGCCGCGCGCCGACAGGCUAUGAUGUAGUUGCACAAACAGCAGAUGGCCUGGAUGCUGACCUCUGGAAGGAUGGCCUGUUUAAAUCCAAGGUCACACGAUACCUUUGCUUCACAAGGUCAUUUUCAAAAGAAAAUAGUCACUUAGGAAACGUCUUGGUUGACAUGAAGCUCAUUGACAUCAAGGACACCUUACCUGUGGGCUUCAUCCCCAUUCAAGAGACUGUUGACACACAAGAAAUAGCUUUCAGAAAGAAGAGGCUGUGCAUUAAAUUUAUCCCUCGAGAUUCUACAGAGGCAGCCAUCUGUGAUAUCCGAAUCCUGGGGAGAUCAAAGCAAGCCCCUCCUCAGUACACGUUCAUAGGGGAGUUGAACAACAUGGGCAUUUGGUAUCGGAUGGGCAGAGUUCCCCGCAACCAUGAAUCUUCACAGCCUGCUGCUCCUUCCCAAGCUCCAUCUCCAGCACCAGCUCCCAACCUGCCAAGGCAUAUCUCACUGACACUUCCUGCUAGCUUUCGAGGCAAAAGUCACAGCCGCCUGGACUUGGAGCACCAGCACUCAAACCUGUAUGCCAUAUCAGCAAUGGAUGGAGUGCCUUUCAUGAUCUCGGAGAAGUUUGCCUGCGCUCCUGAAGGGAUGCAGCCAGUUGAUCUCUUGGGCAUCACAAUCAAAAGCCUUGCAGAAAUUGAAAAGGAGGGACUUUCUGAGCGGUUCUGGUGGGACGCAAAGGCUGAAAUCAGGUACAGCCUUUGCUGUGCUCCCAAGCUACCUGGGAGAGCGAAGGACACUGCAAGAGAUGUGACUGAGUUCAGGCACAGGACAUAAACCAUGGGAGCAGAGGAGUCACUGGCGGUCGGACCAGGAGCUGUGAGCCUUCUGAUGAGCUGCAGAGCUGGCUGCUCCUGGCUGCCCGUGGCUGCAGAGGUGAUGGCAUGAACCUCAUGAAGGUAAUUUGCUUUUGUUUGUGUUGGUUUUUAUCCUUGUAAACCAAUCUGAAAUGUCUGCUAAAUUCUAUGCUGCAAAGUCAAAAAAUCAGAAGUCAAAAUAUCUUGACUUCAGCAUUUUCUGGAGGGGAAAGGACCAUACAUGGCAAAUACACUGCUGCACAGGCAGCGUUCCAAGUGCGUGUGGCAGUGAGUUCAGUACAAUAGAUGCAGGCAAAGUUAGUGGAACAACUCAUUUAUCUUCUAUGAAGUGCUCAGGCAGGGCCAGGAGCGGCUGGCAUUGCAGCAGUGUGCAGCAGGUGACAGCAGUGUGCAGCCUGAGCGCAGCAUGCAGCUUGUGGGACUGCAGGGCACCUCGCAACUACAGCCACAGACCCCAUCUGCAGUGAUCUGAUAGCAGGGAGAGCCCUGGGCCUCAGGCAAGGCCUUCUCUUGGAGGGAGCAGUAGCUCCGGGGCUUGGUGCUGGCACAGCAUUGGGGUUUGGUGCUGGUGCAGAGAUUCUGGUAACUGCGUGGGCUCAGAGCAACCCUGCUGGGCUCAGGGCUCCAUAGUCUCAUUUUUUACAAAUAUUAUAAACUGGGAUUCUGCAGAAGUAAACAGGGUUUUAUAAUCAGCUCUGAAAUACAGCUGUAUUUUAAGAGAGGCAGUUAAGGAUGGAUGUGUGAGUUACAGGGAAGGUGCCAUGCUUUUACGACCCAUGCUCUGCUCUGUGUGGCCCUGCUUCGUGCUCUCUUUGUCAAAUGCUGCUGCUGGCGAGCGAUUUAACAGCAGCGGGGGGAUGCGACUGGGAAGGCUGCAGCUCCAGUACCGCUGUCAGCAUGGUCUGCAGGGCAGAGCUGCCUCCGCAGCAGGGUGAAGGCUCAGAGCGAGGCAGGAUGGGGACAGGAUGAUGCCCAGCAUGGGGAGGUGCAGGCAGCAGUGCAGGCAGUACACAGCAGGGGCAGGGCUGCUCUGUUGGUUGGGCAGGGGGUCCUGGCCCCAUGGAUCCCAGCACAGGUGGUCCUGGCAGCUCUCUCCCUUUUGCAGGCACCCCGGGGGCACAAUGGACUUCUCGAUGGGGGAGAGGUUCACGUCACACCGUUAGAACUCAAGUUUGUUAUUCGUUCUGCUGUUAUUUUUCUGAACUUGACUCAGCGGUGGUGCACACUGUGACCUCUGGCAUCUUCUCUCCCCCCAGCCAAUAUCCCCAUCUCGCAUACUUUGAGCGCCCUUUGAAUUAAAGGAGAUUAAUUCCCAAGUUCCCGACAUGCUCUUCAGGCACAUGUUUUUAUAACCUCCUAAAGCAAGUGCCCCUGGUUCCGCCAAACUAGCUCAGCCCUAAGCUGCAGGCACUGGGAGCUACUGCUGCCCCCCAGGAGAGCACCCUGCUGCACGCACCCACGGCCUGCCUGCUGGCUGGGGAUGCAGCAGGCAUAGGCUGGCAGCAGCCGUGGGGUGCGAUGUCACAGGCUGCUGGGCUUUGUGCUGCUGUGGCUUUUGUUGUUGUUUGUUUUCUUUGCCUCUUCUCCCUCCUACAGCUUCAAGAAUUAACUCGCCCUGGGAAUAUCUCCAAAUCCUUUCCCUUCUUCGAAGUGAUGGAUAAGCCAUGUAACUGAUUGCCGUGGCCUCGGAGAGGGGUAUGAUGUUUUAUCCCGCGGCAGGAAGGGCUGCCAGCAGCACUUUGAAGGUCUGGCACAGCCGCCACGGCUUGGAUCGUGAACUGGGAAGUGUUUGAAUGCACUGGGAAAAAAAGGAAAGUCCUGAACUCUGCUCCAUGUGUGCAGAUUUCGCGAAGAUAAAGGAGCCCACAGCUUUAUCCAGCCAUGCUGACUCUUUUCUUUUCCAAAGCCUUUUCAGAUGUUUUCACUUUUCUGCUUGCUUUGUUGAAAGAUGUAAAAAUUUAAGACAACCACAAAGUAAACAUUUCAAAACUUUCUAUUCUGAAAAUUAGCGACAUUUUCAAAAUCCCCCAAAUUCUGUUUCUGCUUGAUCCAAAAUGAAGAUGUUUGGCAUUUCUUUGGUUGGCGGCAGAUGUUUGUUUGUUGAAAACCUUUCUUCUAUUUUUCCAAGAAAACAGAUCAGUUAUUCAGUAGAAACACCAGAUAAGUCGAUGUCUUGUCAAAAUAAAGCAGGUUUUCCUUAUUAGAGUGAAAUAGUAAUGAACUCAUCUGCUUCCAAUAUUUAUAAAGAGUAGAGAAGCCCAUUAAUUCUACUGCUUGUGAAUAAAACCAUCUGUGAUUUCUUUCCA